AUUUUGGUCCGUCCAAAAAUACUUGUUAUCAAAAUGAAUAAAAAGAGAUGUAUCAAGAACUAAAAUACGUCUAGAUACAUCCUUUUUUAUCUAUUUUAAUGACAAAUAUUUUCGGACGGAGGGAGUAUGUG
rfam:Triticum aestivum genome assembly, contig: Triticum_aestivum_CS42_TGACv1_scaffold_223465_3B